AUUGAACGCUGGCGGCAGGCCUAACACAUGCAAGUCGAGCGGAUGAAGGGGGCUUGCUCCUGGAUUCAGCGGCGGACGGGUGAGUAAUGCCUAGGAAUCUGCCUGGUAGUGGGGGAUAACGUCCGGAAACGGGCGCUAAUACCGCAUACGUCCUGAGGGAGAAAGUGGGGGAUCUUCGGACCUCACGCUAUCAGGUGAGCCUAGGUCGGAUUAGCUAGUUGGUGGGGUAAAGGCCUACCAAGGCGACGAUCCGUAACUGGUCUGAGAGGAUGAUCAGUCACACUGGAACUGAGACACGGUCCAGACGCCUACGGGAGGCAGCAGUGGGGAAUAUUGGACAAUGGGCGAAAGCCUGAUCCAGCCAUGCCGCGUGUGUGAAGAAGGUCUUCGGAUUGUAAAGCACUUUAAGUUGGGAGGAAGGGCAGUAAGUUAAUACCUUGCUGUUUUGACGUUACCAAAAGAAUAAGCACCGGCUAACUUCGUG
rnacentral:rRNA from 1 species